GUUGGCACCAGACACCUUGGUUUGCCAAAUGCGUGCUGUACGCCUGCUGUGGGCUAGGAACUCAUUGGGCCACCAAGCGGCCUGGCGGUUUAGAUGAAAAGGUGAAGAGCAAACUGGACACGGCUGCGGGCAGCGCUGGGAGCACACGCACGUGCAAUGUGCCAAGGAGGUGUCUGUCCAGGGAGGGCACCUGGAAGGCAGUGGCAGGGAGGAGCCCAGCGAGGCCUACCCGGUUUUCCUUUAUGAGCUCAGCAGAAACAGCAGCGAGUCAAAAUAAACAACCCUUGGAAUCCGAAGGCUGCCUCCUCCUACAGAAAGGCAGAAUACUCGUCGUCUGUGUUGCGGGCCCGGGAUGCGCGCCCUUCAGCGCACAGGCUCCCGCGGAGACCAGGUUUUAACCAGGGAUAGUUUAUUUUUUUUCCAUCCGGCUAAGUGAGGUUGACUCGGCGUGGCGCACAGGCCCGGUCCGCCCCCCGCGGUGUGGGCUCCCCGCGCCCCCCGCCCGCCGCUUCCUCCAGGCCCUGCUGACCCCUAGCGGCCACGCGGUAGAAGUGAACAGGACGGGGCCAGAGUGCGGAGCGCGGGCGUCUGUCUCGCACCUGCACCUGCGCGGUGCUCUCACCUGCUGUGCACACCGGGAUCACCUGGAGCUCUGAGGACAGCCCUGCCCGG
rnacentral:lncRNA from 12 species